AUUGAACGCUGGCGGCAUGCCUUACACAUGCAAGUCGAACGGUAACAGGUUAAGCUGACGAGUGGCGAACGGGUGAGUAACACAUCGGAACGUGCCCAAUCGUGGGGGAUAACGUAGCGAAAGCUACGCUAAUACCGCAUACGAUCUACGGAUGAAAGCGGGGGAUCGCAAGACCUCGCGCGAAUGGAGCGGCCGAUGGCAGAUUAGGUAGUUGGUGAGGUUAAGGCUCACCAAGCCUGCGAUCUGUAGCUGGUCUGAGAGGACGACCAGCCACACUGGGACUGAGACACGGCCCAGACUCCUACGGGAGGCAGCAGUGGGGAAUUUUGGACAAUGGGCGCAAGCCUGAUCCAGCAAUGCCGCGUGCAGGAUGAAGGCCUUCGGGUUGUAAACUGCUUUUGUACGGAACGAAACGGUCCUUUCUAAUACAGGGGGCUAAUGACGGUACCGUAAGAAUAAGCACCGGCUAACUACGUGCCAGCCGCCGCGGUAA
rnacentral:rRNA from 1 species